rnacentral:rRNA from 1 species
GACGAACGCUGGCGGCGUGCCUAAUACAUGCAAGUAGAACGCUGAAGGAGGAGCUUGCUUCUCCGGAUGAGUUGCGAACGGGUGAGUAACGCGUAGGUAACCUGCCUGGUAGCGGGGGAUAACUAUUGGAAACGAUAGCUAAUACCGCAUAACAGUAGAUAUUGCAUGAUAUCUGCUUGAAAGGUGCAAAUGCAUCACUACCAGAUGGACCUGCGUUGUAUUAGCUAGUUGGUGAGGUAACGGCUCACCAAGGCAACGAUACAUAGCCGACCUGAGAGGGUGAUCGGCCACACUGGGACUGAGACACGGCCCAGACUCCUACGGGAGGCAGCAGUAGGGAAUCUUCGGCAAUGGACGGAAGUCUGACCGAGCAACGCCGCGUGAGUGAAGAAGGUUUUCGGAUCGUAAAGCUCUGUUGUAAGAGAAGAACGAGUGUGAGAGUGGAAAGUUCACACUGUGACGGUAUCUUACCAGAAAGGGACGGCUAACUACGUGCCAGCAGCCGCGGUAAUACGUAGGUCCCGAGCGUUGUCCGGAUUUAUUGGGCGUAAAGCGAGCGCAGGCGGUUAGAUAAGUCUGAAGUUAAAGGCUGUGGCUUAACCAUAGUACGCUUUGGAAACUGUUUAACUUGAGUGCAAGAGGGGAGAGUGGAAUUCCAUGUGUAGCGGUGAAAUGCGUAGAUAUAUGGAGGAACACCGGUGGCGAAAGCGGCUCUCUGGCUUGUAACUGACGCUGAGGCUCGAAAGCGUGGGGAGCAAACAGG